GAUGAACGCUGGCGGCGUGCCUAAUACAUGCCAGUCGAGCGAACAGACGAGGAGCUUGCUCCUCUGACGUUAGCGGCGGACGGGUGAGUAACACGUGGAUAACCUACCUAUAAGACUGGGAUAACUUCGGGAAACCGGAGCUAAUACCGGAUAAUAUAUUGAACCGCAUGGUUCAAUAGUGAAAGACGGUUUUGCUGUCACUUAUAGAUGGAUCUGCGCCGCAUUAGCUAGUUGGUAAGGUAACGGCUUACCAAGGCAACGAUGCGUAGCCGACCUGAGAGGGUGAUCGGCCACACUGGGACUGAGACACGGUCCAGACUCCUACGGGAGGCAGCAGUAGGGAAUCUUCCGCAAUGGGCGAAAGCCUGACGGAGCAACGCCGCGUGAGUGAUGAAGGUCUUCGGAUCGUAAAACUCUGUUAUUAGGGAAGAACAAAUGUGUAAGUAACUAUGCACGUCUUGACGGUACCUAAUCAGAAAGCCACGGCUAACUACGUG
rnacentral:rRNA from 1 species